CCUACGGGAGGCAGCAGUGGGGAAUAUUGGGCAAUGGAGGAAACUCUGACCCAGCAACGCCGCGUGAAUGAUGAAGGUCUUCGGAUUGUAAAGUUCUUUUCUAAGGGAAGAAGAAAGUGACGGUACCUUAGGAAUAAGCCUCGGCUAACUACGUGCCAGCAGCCGCGGUAAUACGUAGGAGGCGAGCGUUAUCCGGAAUGACUGGGCGUAAAGGGUGCGUAGGUGGUUUGGCAAGUUAGUAGCGUAACUCCAAGGCUCAACCUUGGAACUACUACUAAAACUGUUGGACUUGAGUGCAGGAGGGGCAACCGGAAUUCCUAGUGUAGCGGUGGAAUGCGUAGAUAUGACGAAGAACCCCGAUUGCGAAGGCAGCUUGCUGCAGCGGAACUGACGCUGAUGCUCGAAAGCGCGGGUAUCGAACAGGAUUAGAUACCCUUGUAGUC
rnacentral:rRNA from 1 species